UACGUAGGGUGCGAGCGUUGUCCGGAAUUAUUGGGCGUAAAGAGCUCGUAGGCGGUCCGUCGCGUCGAAUGUGAAAACCCGGGGCUCAACUCCGGGCUUGCAUUCGAUACGGGCGGACUAGAGUUCGGUAGGGGAGACUGGAAUUCCUGGUGUAGCGGUGAAAUGCGCAGAUAUCGGGAGGAACACCGGUGGCGAAGGCGGUUCUCUGGGCCUUACCUGACGCUGAGGAGCGAAAGCGUGGGGAGCGAACAGG
rnacentral:rRNA from 1 species